rnacentral:rRNA from 1 species
UACGGGGGGGGCAAGCGUUGUUCGGAAUUACUGGGCGUAAAGGGCUCGUAGGUGGCCAACUAAGUCAGACGUGAAAUCCCUCGGCUUAACCGGGGAACUGCGUCUGAUACUGGAUGGCUUGAGUUUGGGAGAGGGAUGCGGAAUUCCGGUGUAGCGGUGAAAUGCGUAGAUAUCGGAAGGAACACCAGUGGCGAAAGCGGCUUCCUGGUCCAGCACCGACGUUCAGGCACGAAAGCGUGGGGAGCAAACAGG